AUACGGAGGGUGCAAGCGUUACUCGGAAUCAUUGGGCGUAAAGCGCGCGCAGGCGGCUAUUUAAGUUGGAUGUGAAAGCCUACGGCUCAACCGUAGAACUGCAUCCAAAACUAUCUAGCUAGAGUGUGGGAGAGGAAGAUGGAAUUAGUUGUGUAGGGGUAAAAUCCGUAGAGAUAACUAGGAAUACCAAAAGCGAAGGCAAUCUUCUGGAACACUACUGACGCUGAGGCGCGAAAGCGUGGGGAGCAAACGGGAUUAGAAACCCUAGUAGUCC
rnacentral:rRNA from 1 species